CACGCUUCCACUGUCGUCAGGGGAGGUGCGGUUAUCAUCUCCGCACAGCCAAUCAGAAUCGCGGAAGAAUUGUCCGCCAUUACCUCCGUCAAAACUUAUGAUGACGGAGGUUUUGAGGUACAGAUGUUUUAGCCUGAUUACUUCGAGUUCUCAUAAAAUUGGUGGAAUUGUGUGCAUCGGGGAAAUGCAACAGUGAUUCACGUUACCCAGAAAGGAUACAAGAAAUAAUGUUUAUCCCAUUUCCAAACCCAAAAUCACAUAAAGAUUAAUGUUUACGUUGAAUAAAGGCGUGCGGUAGGCCCCACAGUAAGAGCAGAAUGGACCGGCACACAAAAUUCUUUGGAUAUACUUGUAACAGCAGCACAAGUUAGAGAAUUUACAAGACCAGUUCACAACAGCAGAAAAUGCCUUUCAUCAACAGAGCAUACUUAAUCAUCACCUGCAACUCCAGUUAUCAAUGGAAGCCCAAGAUUAACCCCACCAACAGGUCACCCCUUUUGACAUUAACAGUACUCUACAGCAAGAGAAAAAAAAAACCAGGGUUGUUUUUAUAUUAUAUCAAUUUGAGACAUGCCACAUUUUGUACUUUGUUAGAGUUUUUUUUAUACAUCUGAGCAAAUUCCCCAGUGUGUAAAAAAAGGAGGGACAUAACAAAUAUGACAAAACAAUCGCAGUUGUUAUUAACACUGAUGAGGCUGAGACAUAAUUUUGAAAUCAAGGACUUGGCAUCAAGAUUUUGUAUUUCAACACAGUGCAUCGGUGAUAUAUUCUGUGCCUGAAUUGACCUUAUGUUGUGUUAGGUUGUGUUUCAAUAUAGUCCUAUAGGAAUGAUAUUAACAACAUAACAAAUGAAUAAAAGCUCAAUUCCCAACAACCAUUGCUAUCAUUGAUUGUGCAGAAAGGAAAUCACAGAAACCAUCUUCUUUAAAACUGCAGUUACAAAUUAUAAAUUCUGACUACAAAUCAGCUACAACCUAAAGGGGACUUGUGGAUUGUGAUCCUUUGGGGGACACAAUGGAAACUAGCUGUAUGCUAAUUUGUGUUAUCUUGGAUAAAUAAAGGCUAUUAUCAUUAUCAUAUUUGUUAGUGAAUUAUUUACUGGAUCUAUGUCAGAUGUUGCUGUUACAGAGAAUAGUGGAUUUUACAAACUCCUUGUUAACUGAUGGUGGGUUGAAUUAUUCUGGAAGGGGAAUUCAUUUUGGCAGACAAAGGUUUCACGAUAUCCAAAAAAACCAGGGGAAAUAUGUCUGCACCUCUGUAUCUCUGUCAGCGUAUUCCCACCAGUUAGUAAAUGUAUAUAUGGAGACAUCAAUAAAGUUUGGAUAGUUUGCACCCUACUAAGUCUUGGGCAAAACCCAGGGUUGGAGAGAAAAUUGUAGAGCAUGUGAAUUCAUUGUGUACUACUUGUAUACAAUGUGAGAGAUUUGUUUAAAAUGAUAUUCAAACAUUUUAUAAGAGAGUUUUAUGUCUAACUUUGGGAAAAUUACAUUUUGAUAAAUAUAAACUAGUAAAUUACUUAAAUUUUCCUUUGAAAUGUGUGAAUGCUCACAACUAAGAAAAUUGAAGAAUUUGUGCAGAUUCAUUGACAAUUAAAAUA